rnacentral:rRNA from 1 species
UACGGGGGGGGCAAGCGUUGUUCGGAAUUACUGGGCGUAAAGCGUGCGUAGGUGGUGAGUUAAGUCUGUCGUGAAAGCCCCGGGCUCAACCUGGGAAUGGCGAUGGAUACUGGCUCGCUAGAGUGCGGUAGAGGAGAGCGGAAUUCCCGGUGUAGCAGUGAAAUGCGUAGAGAUCGGGAGGAACAUCAGUUGCGAAGGCGGCUCUCUGGACCAGCACUGACACUGAGGCACGAAAGCGUGGGGAGCAAACAGG